GAUGAACGCUGGCGGCGCGCCUAACACAUGCAAGUCGAACGAUUAAAGCACCUUCGGGUGUGUAUAAAGUGGCGAACGGCUGAGUAACACGUGGGCAACCUGCCCCUUUCAUUGGGAUAGCCACGGGAAACCGUGGAUAAUACCGAAUACUUCGAGACUUCCGCAUGGAAGACUCGAGAAAGCUCCGGCGGAGAGGGAUGGGCCCGCGGCCUGUUAGCUUGUUGGUGGGGUAACGGCCUACCAAGGCAAUGAUGGGUAGCUGGGUUGAGAGACCGACCAGCCAGAUUGGGACUGAGACACGGCCCAGACUCCUACGGGAGGCAACAGUGGGGAAUCUUGCACAAUGGGCGAAAGCCUGAUGCAGCGACGCCGCGUGCGGGAUGAAGGCCUUCGGGUUGUAACCCGCUUUCAGCAGGGACGAGGCGAAAGUGACGGUACCUGCAGAAGAAGCCCCGGCUAACUACGUG
rnacentral:rRNA from 1 species